AUUGAACGCUGGCGGAAUGCUUUACACAUGCAAGUCGAGCGGCAGCGCGGCCUUCGGGCUGGCUUCGAGCGGCGAACGGGUGAGUAAUUCAUCGGAACAUGCCCAGUCGUUUUUGAUAACACUUCGAAAUAAGUGCUAAUACCGCAUACGUCCUGAGGGUGAAAGCGGGGGAUCGCAAGACCUCGCGCGAUUGGAGUGGCCGAUGUCGGAUUAGCUAGUUGGUUGGGUAAAGGCCUACCAAGGCGACGAUCUGUAGCUGGUCUGAGAGGAUGAUCAGCCACACUGGAAGUGAGACACGGGCAAGACUCCUACGGGAGGAAGCAGUGGGGAAUAUUGGACAAUGGGGGAAAGCAUGAUCCAGCAAUACCGAGUGAGUGAAGAAGGACUUAGGGUUGUAAAGCUCUUUGGGGAGGAAAGAAAAGGAGGGGUAUAAGAUAGUGCGAUAAUGACGGUACCUGAAGAAGAAGCACCGGCUAACUACGUG
rnacentral:rRNA from 1 species